rnacentral:rRNA from 1 species
CCUACGGGGGGCAGCAGUGGGGAAUAUUGCGCAAUGGGCGAAAGCCUGACGCAGCGACGCCGCGUGAGGGAUGAAGGUCUUCGGAUCGUAAACCUCUGUCAGCAGGGAAGAACGGUCACUGUGCUAAUCAGCAGUGAAUUGACGGUACCUGCAAAGGAAGCACCGGCUAACUCCGUGCCAGCAGCCGCGGUAAUACGUAGGGAGCGAGCGUUGUCCGGAAUUACUGGGUGUAAAGGGAGCGUAGGCGGGGAUGCAAGUUGGAUGUUUAAACUAUCGGCUCAACCGGUAAUUGCAACCAAAACUGCAACUCUUGAGUGAAGUAGAGGCAGGCGGAAUUCCUAGUGUAGCGGUGAAAUGCGUAGAUAUUAGGAGGAACACCAGUGGCGAAGGCGGCCUGCUGGGCUUUAACUGACGCUGAGGCUCGAAAGCGUGGGGAGCAAACAGGAUUAGAUACCCUUGUAGUC